rnacentral:lncRNA from 1 species
CCUCACUGACGCCAUAAUGUUAGAACUAUGCAUUUAAAAGAAUUCCAGGAACUGACCUUAGGAGACAACCAAGGUUGCCGAGUGUCCCACUUUGGGAAGGAAUGUUGAACAAUCAAUCGAUUUACAGUCUCUUGCCUCCGGCCAGACGACAGGGUGGCUCAUUAACUCAAGAUAACCAGAGUAACUAAGUAUGCCGCCCUGCACGCCCUACCCCGACGUCAGUUCCCGCGCUUUGCCUCUUAAGAAAGCUUUGCCUCUUAAGAAAGACUCGGGCUCUGGAGCUCCAGCAGAGCCGGGGCCUCGGCUCCAACCCGUCGGGCCCCGACUUGAAGCAGCGGGGAACCUCUCCUCACACCUCGGUGACCGGGUGGCCGCCGGGACACAGAGGCUUUGGGUGGCGGCGUGUUUGCGGGUCGGGAAGAACCGCGCAGAGGCCACUAGGGCGCAGGGCCCGGGAAGGCGGAGCUAGGGACUGGCUCGGCCUCCUUUUUAGGCCACUGCGCCGCGCAGAUCCGGUCCUCGGGCGACCGCUCUGUCCCAGUUGGGCGAGACUACCUGGUCCUGAUAACAGUGGAUAACGGCUUUAACGGCCAGAAGGUCAGCGCAGUCCCGGAUGAGGACGAGUAGAACGGUAACGGCCAUGGGGCGGUUGGCCUUCCUUCUACCAGACCUUGAUGUGGGAAGAGAGAAAUGGAGUAACAAGCCACAUUUGGCGCUUUGGAGAUGCCCACCACGCUUUGGGAAGAUGUACCAGCGUUUAUAGAAGGCCCGAGUGUAUAAGGGCACACCUUUCCCUCACCUUGACACCUCACAUUUCCCACCUCAUUCUAACAGCUAAAUUAGUGUCUAUAAGGAAUUUUCCAGACCUUCCGGGUUUCAUCAACUCUAUCUCCAAUUCAAUCCUCGUCUACACACACAGUUCAGGGGAGGCAAGAUAGCGGCUACAUUUUCUGUUCUUGACCUUCAGCUCCAAGGGACUGUUUCCCGGAUGCUUCGGACCGAGUGUUUGGUAGUGUCUGGGGAGGACUCGGUCAGGGAGCCCCCUCCUUUCACCCUGGUACUAGGAGCUGAAGAGGCGAGAUGCCAGGCGAACGGCUGAAGGCAGAGGUCUUUU